rnacentral:lncRNA from 1 species
AUACUUGUUGGCCUCCCAGCUUGGCCAUUAUGGAUAUCAGAGAACAAUGGAAUCUAAAGAAUAAGCAAAGCUUACAGAUUCAUCUCACAAGCUCGGCAACGAUAUUUGUUUUGCUCAGUAAAUAACGCAAAGCUCGAAGACGAGACAGAAGAGGUAAAAGAAAUUCCUCAAACAAGUGACUACACUUAAACUGCAUCUCACUAUACUUUUGCUUGCAUGUAUGUCAUUGGCAAAACAAAAUUGCAGUAGUCAAUUGAUACCAUGAUGCUUUAUGAAGAUUUUUUCUAUAGAAGAAACCAUGAUACGCCAUAUUGAUCCGAACCGGACGGUACGCCGUAUCAUAUCUAUUUGGUACCGAUACCCUGGUACAUAUGGUAUACCGAUAUUCGGUACGCUAAAAAAAAUUUCGUACCAUACCGUACUGAUACUAUGCUAGUAUGGCACCAGUAUGAAUCCGGUACCGAGACAACGAACCUCAGAAGAAACGAUAUUAAACUGACCUUAAAUGCUGAGAAAAAUAUUUGAUGAGAAAGCAUAAUUUCUAAAAGUUACGUGUCAUGAUUUUUGUCCUGGAUGCAGCAGAUCUUGAUAGCAAACCUUACCUAGACCUACCUGGUGGCUAAACUAAUCCACAAUGGAUUCAGUGAUCCUUCUUGAUCAUUAACAUGCCAUGGUUUUUAGUGUUUUCCAGCAACAAGUAGAAGGUGGCCCUGGUGAAAUCAUCCAACAUACUUUUUACUUAUUGUUGAUCAUAAUGAUGGAUGAAAACAAAAAAUAAAUGCUCUAAUUUGGUUGAACCUUUCACAUUAGUUAUUCUGAAUGCUUGAUUUGCACUCGGGGAACACAUGGACUGUGCACUGAACCCAUAGCGAGAAUCGCUUUUAGGUUAAAAACAUGACCUGUGAGUUCUUUAUCAUUGUUCAUCACAGUAAUGGAUCAAAAUAAAAAAAACAUAAACACUCUAAUGGUUGAAGUUUUUGCAUUAGUUACUGACAAUGAAGCAUCAUGCGAAACUUAUGGCUAUGCGCUGAACAACACAGUAAAGAUCACUUUGAAGUUAAAAUCCUAAAGAAAAAUGUCUUUGCAAUUACAGAUAAAUACAAAAUAUACAAUGUCUGCAAAUAUACUAACAGAUUCAUCUUACAUACAACUUAUACAGUGACAGAAUUCCAGGAUCAGCGGAUCUUCAGAAAGCUGGAUCCAAUCUUAUGGCUAGGAUAGAGCCAAUGCUUCGUUUCAGCUGGAGUAGGGGGAUGAAGAGGAGAAUGAACUGUACUUGUUUGAUUUUGAAAAUGAUGAAAUGGCCAGGUACUAAGUUACAUCUUUGACAGAGUAGCCUGCAUGCUUGAAACCAGGAGCAUACUAUUGAAGAAACCCUUCAAUUGAAGCUGGAGAAUAUCCUUCCGUAAAAAGAAUGCAAUGUUGAAGCUUCAUCAAUCUCCAACACAAGAUAAACUGAAGUGUGGAAAGCAACUGAUGGAAGCAUUCAAUUUCAUGAUCGGUGCUGCCUCAUGUUGUCAGGCAUUGCCAGCAGGACUGAUGGUAAGCUUCAAAUUUUUUGAAGGCUGGACCACAAUAAGCUAAAUGCAGAGAUCCAAAGGGCAUGCCAAAGUCCAAAGAUAAAAAACACCAGAAUACAGCUUGAUUUAGCUGAACAGUUAGCUGAAGACCUGUUGGCUGUACAACUUACUUUCUAAACAAACAACUCAUAUUCUCAAGAAUCUGUGAUGAUAGAACUCAUCAAAUGACAGGCGUUUCACUGCAAAGGAUAGAGAACUUCGUCAGCAACACAUGAUACACUAGAUGAAAAAUUGAGGUUAAAAGUACACACCUGGGUUUUUGCACAAAAGCCUAGCACACAUAUCAAUAGAGUCAAGAUGCAAACUGGGGAGGAUGAGCUGUGAAAAUGGCAAGGACGUACUACUCUUUAUGCUUUUUAGAAGCUGCAGAAGAAACCAACAUUAAGCCAGAACAAAGGCAAAAAGGAAGGUUACAAUAAUGAUGCAAUAAUCUUAUUUGUAAAUAGAUUAGCCACCUGAACAUUGUUACUGCCACGAAAAGGUGGAUACCCAUUCAGAAGCUCAAAGAAAAUUGCACCAAUGCUCCACAUAUCUACCUGGUUAGAGAAAGCAUUUCAAUUUGCUGUCAUUUGAGUAGGAGGAGAGAGCGACUUUUACCUUGUCGUCAUACUGUUGAAAUUCCAUAACCUCUGGAGCCAUGUAGAAAGGUGUUCCACAAACUGAGUCUGCAAACUCGCCAGGAUGAACAGCUCUAUUUGAAAGCAGUAGGAGAACAUGUAAGAAUUCCUUCUGAAGAUAAACAAUUAGUUGUACAAAAUACUCUGAAUUCUGAUAUGGAAUACUCCAGUAAUUUGCUACCGAUACCUUGAUAGACCAAAAUCAGCUAUCUUUAGCACAGCAUCACUGCUGGGAGUAGAAAGUAGAAUAUUCUGCUCCACUAACAGCAAAUGUCAAUGAAUUAUGAAGAGCAUGAAUUCUAUAAGUAGAAUUAGAUGGUUAACAUUGUUCUGUACCUUCGGUUUCAAGUCCCGAUGGAUUAUGUGGUGAGCAUGCAUUACCUCCAAACCUGCUCCUGCAAUAUGAAGAUAAAUGAACUAUUGUAUCAUAUCCACAAUAUUAGUGGGACAAAAAUACUUGCUUGAUACUUAUCAGUUCAUUGAUGAUACAAAUACCUAGCUGCUUCAUGAAUUUUCUGACAGUAUUUUCAUGCACCCUCCCUUUUUGCUGAAUGUAAGUGGCUAAGUUUCCUCCGGAACAGAACUCCAAAACAAGGAAUAUGCAUCCAUCAACCUGAAAUGGGAAAAUAUCGAGAAGCAAAAGAGUGAAAACGUAAAACUUCUAUUAAUGUUCAUCACAGGGACCAUGAUGCAUAACUCACAAUAAUGGAACUUAUUUUGAAUUCUACUUUGGAAGUUUUGAACAUGGCUGGUGUUUGUGAUAAAAAAAGCCCCAAAUUAUUUGGCCUUAUUGAUGUAAAAAGGCACCCAUGUAGAUAUACACAUAAUACAAUCCUCAGUAGGGAGUUGAAAACCCUUCUUUUCCACUGAAUCUUCAGGUGAAACAGCUAGCUUUAAGAAAAAUAAGGUGAUCUACAUCAAUUCUAUAAGUUUCUUGGAGUUUUAAAUGUGUUCAGCUGUUGCAUUUGAUCUUAUUUUCUUUCAUUUUGCUCUUUUAAUGGAUGAAGAAACUCAUGAUUGGCCUUCCUUCCAACUUCCGUCAUAAAAAUUUUGAUAGAGCCAUGAUGGAACACAAAAUAGCCAAGGCUCCACCAUCAGAAUUUCUGGUAAAAACUCCGCAAUGAAGCACCAGUCCUAGUUAAAAGGUAUUGCCCUCCAACAACAGGUUAAGAAAAAAUUUGCAAAAUUUUCGUUACUUGGCAAGUUCAAAAUUUCCUAUUCUGAACAGCAAGCCCUGGAUAUAAAGCUCAAAGUUACUGAUCCUCCUCCAAUAAAUUGCCCCCAAACCCAAAAUAUUCCCAUGAAGCAUGUGAUCAGAAGCUAAUGAAGUCUAUUACUCUAGAUAUUAAAAGCCCUAAAGUUCGAGCAAACAACUCCUCAAAAGCUCCAACUAUUUGAUUUCCGAACUAAGAAUUCAAUCCAAAUACCAAAACCUGGUUCCGAAACCCCAACUAGCGGCUAUCCAAAAGAGCUAAUGGAACCAAUUUCUCGAUAGAAUAAACAACCAAAAACUUUCAAACUGGGAAAUCAAUUGAAAGCUCAAAUCUUUACAUUUCUGAACUAUUUAAUUCAGUCUAAACAUCAAAUCUCUGAUUCAUAACCCGCAAGAAGCCUCAAUUUUAAGCUCUUUCCCCUCAAUCAAAAGCUUUAAAACACAAGUUUAACGUCCAAAUGAAAUAAAAAUGAGAGAAAAAAAAAAGAGAAAUGAAGUGGAAAGGGAAGGAAGGGAACCUGGAAGACAUCAAGGAGGCGGAUGAUGUUGGGAUGGCAGACGCUUGCCAAGAAGUUGAUCUCGCAAUCGAGGCAUUCCCUCAGGGUCCUGGUGAGCCCCGAGAGGCGGACCUGCUUCAAGACGACGUCCUGGCCGCUCGAUCGGUGGACCGCCCUCCACACGAUCGAGAACGGCCCUUCCCCUCCCAGCCUCCCCCUCACCUCGUACUCUCCGUCGCCGGCGAUGGACGGCGGUGGCCGCUCCUCCGUCAUCCGUCCCUCGCUCUCUCUCAUCCUGGUCCCCUCUCCGCACUACAAGCCAUCACUGUUCUCACGAGCCAACCGACAAGCACGAUCUCAAGCGUUUUGCGAGUCCCCGGACAGCUACCCAAAUGGAAGUAGACCCGCUUUUCCCCAAACCAGCGCCAAAUAAACCGUCGGCUGUGAUUCAGGGUUGACAAUUAUAGCAACCGGGCCAAGCCGGAUGGACGGUAGAUCAAAAAUUUAUCAAUUUAAAUUUAAUUAAUUUAUUAAAUAGAUAAAAUUUUAGAUUUGAAUGUGAUAAUUUUAUUAAAUAGAUGAUGUAAUCAAAUCUAUAAUAAGUAAAAAUAAGUGAAAUGGGGUAAAUAGCGAAGCACCGCCUUUUAUACUUAAAAAUGGAAGUAGUUGUAUUUUUGAUGCAAAAGGAGGAUACAUCUUUCUUCGCAUGAAUCCAUCAUUAGAUCACCAUUGCACAGAUCUCAAAGCAACUCGUACUAUCAUCAUCCGCCUCCGCAAAUCCCAAAGUGACUGAUGGAUGAUUCAACGGUGGAUUGGUGCGAAUAUCAAUGAAUAUUUUUAUCCAAAGAUGCAACCCCACUCUACUGAAAUGGGCCAGAGUUCCGUUGGGUCAACUGUCAAAUUGCGUUUUCUAGGCCCAAAGCCAGUUCUGCUCCCCAAAAUUUAAUUAAAGAUUUAUCAUAUUUUUCCUAGGGCUCGAUAUACUUUUUUUUUUUCCCGUUAUUAUCUUCUGUUCUUAAAAUCUUCCUAUUAUGAAGGGUUGAAAAGAAAAAGGAGGGGGUCAAAUUUUAGUUGUCAAGUAGUCAAGUAGAAUUAUAUCCUUGAUUUUCUUAAUUUCUCUGCAUACUGAUAAGUAGAAGGAAAAUCACACAGAAAAAAGAGGGAAUGGGUUGGUGCUCUCACAAAAAUCAUGACUUAAAUAUGUUUGAGAUUAAUUGGAUCAACAUGAGAUUGCAUACUCCAUGGAAAAGGUGUUUUUCUUCCCUAAUUUUCAUAUGAUUCUGAUUUGCUCCUCAACUUUAUGGCUGAAUCCUUUUUUUCACUAUCUCAACAAAAUGGGCUGGCACUCACUAACUUUUCAAAAAGAAACAAAUCAUAAACACCAUAACAACAUGUCAAGGAUUAUAGUGCAGGAAGAUCAGUUUAAUGGUCUAAAUUAGGUUUUCACAAUGAGGGAAAUAACAAAAACAUGCAUAUUUAUAUACAAACACACGUACACUCAACACACACUAAUCAGAAAAUCAAAGCAAUUAUUUUUUUAUGUCUUCAAAAAAAGCCCCUAGGCAAGAUGGCUUCCCUCCAUUUUCUUAAAAAUGAAUUGCAAGAUAGUUAACCUAGGGUGUGUCUUGCAAUCAAAAUAUUUUUCUUUUCGUGGCAUACUAUUGGGCUUGCAAAGAACGGAUAUGUUUCUAGGGCAUUGGACGAAGCCCCAGUUGAUCCUUCUAAAAGCCUUCAUGCAAGCAAUGGUUCAUUCAGAUGAUUGCCUCGGAAAAAUCUUUGAUAGCUCGAAAAAUCUAUGGUUCUUAUCGUGCAAUUCUUGCAUCUCCUAACGUAAUAUUUUUUACUUAGGAGCCACCAUCCUCUUAUUUCCUUGUGAUAUAUUUUGAUGGUAGGAUUCAAGAUGAAGGUGGCCAUGGGCGAGCCGGCUUUGUUAUCUAGAGCCAUAGUUGCAUGUUUUUUGGCUGCUGGGGGUACGUAGCUUCUUGACAUUUCAGCACCGAUACAAAGUUGCAUGGAGCAUAGGAGGGGUUGACUUAUCCUAUCAGAGUUUUAGGGCAUGCACAUCACUUUAGAAGUGAUUUCAAAACAAUGAUAAGCUGGUGUCCAUCAGGUGGCUGAUGUAGGAGGCACUCAACCUUAGUACAGGACAUCCAGCUAAAGGGAGCCACUUUUGUAUAGUCUGAAGCAUCUCAUGUGUACAAGGAAGCCGGUAGCAUGGUUAAUUGGGUUGCUUCUUACAUGGUCCAUCACUCUAGUGCAGUUUUUUUGGGACUCCAUGUUUAUUCUUCCUUCCCAAUUUCGAGAUCUUUUGUAUAUACCAACUCUCAAGGUUGGAUUUACACUAGAGCUAUACAGCUCAUUCACUUCAUCUUAAAAAAGAAAAAAAUCCCUUUCUUGAUACAUGCUUGAAGAGUAGAAGUCAACUUUCUAUCACUUUAAUUUCUAAAACACCUGAUGCCUUGGAGUCUUGCCAUUAUUUUUUUAUUUUUGAUAAGGCGAACAGAUCAUACAUGCCUAAUAUGAAUAUGCCCAAUAAAAUUAGAAAACAAAAUACCGUUCAAAUAAGUAUAAACAGCUAGAGUGUUGGUCCAAAGGACUUUCCUUAUAGUGCUCCCCAACAAACGAGUCUUGCCAUUAUUAACCAAGUACUCUUUGAAACACUAUGCGCUCUUUUCGAGCCCGUUGAUUUUCGGGGGUGGAGUUUUCUAGAUAAUAUCCUCAUAGCUCAAGGAAUAAUGCAUGAAUUGGAGAGAGCGCAGCUGCUCAAAAGUUUGACAGCAAUUAAACUUGAUACGAAAAGAGCAUAUGAUCGCAUGAGAUGGGACUUCCAGGUCCGUGGGCUUCUUGUCUUGGACAAGGCUGUCCUCUCUCGCCGUAUCUGUUCAUAUUUUGUGCUAACUUGGAGUCUCCGUUGCUAAAUCAGGCUAUUGAAUAGACCAAAGUUACAGGGUUAUCAACUCACUCCUCUGACGCCUCAAAUUUCCCAUCAAUAUUUUGUCGAUGACUGUUUGCUGUUGUUUGCAAAGGCAAAGAUAGUACAUGCUGGAGAUAGUACUAAAUCUGCUAGUACUUGGCAGCACUUGGAGUUAAUCCAAUCUCUAGUUAAAGCCUUAAUUCUUCUAACUAUAAUUUUUUCUCUGAGAAAAUUGCCACUAAGCUUAUAGGAUGGAAACGGAGAUCACCAUGACAGGCUUCAUUAAUUGUUCUAACCUAUUCUGUUCUUAGUUCUUGGGAAAAUGCAUCGCAUGGCUUGGGAGGUUGUUUAUUUUAGAGCCUAACAAUCUCUCAUCCUUGACAUGAGGACUAAAUAUAGGGUUCUCAUUGUCGAAUAUACCUUAAAAGCUCCCAGAUAUUACUCAGCCAUUUGGAGAUAAUUAUGCAAGCAUACCGAUGUGAUGAGAACUUAUUUACAAUGGAUGAUUGGAGAUGGCUCAAACAUCGAUGUGUGGAACAACCCUUGGUGAUUCACCUCGUCAACAUUUUCUCAUUUUACUGCUUUAUUUGAUGCUAAUUAAUUACUGAACUGUAAGAUUCCUGAGCUACUCAUUAGUGAAAAGAAUGUAAGAUUUAGAGACUCCAUUACUUUUUAUCCAGCAAUUGGUGCAACAAAUCAAUUCUAUUCCUAUACCUUGAGGAAUUGAAAAAGAUAGACUGUUUUGGGAGCCCCAAGAACGUUGAGGGCAAAUUUGGUGCAUGGUAGUGCUUGUGAUAGAAAUAAUUUGACUGUUACCAGGACGUAGGAUAGAUUUGGAAACUUAAGAUUCAGCCAAGAGUUGCUCUAUUUUGGUGGAAGCUUGGAUGGGUUAAAUUAUCAUGUGUGUGUACAUUCUGGCUUCAUGUAAUGAAUGUGCUCAAGUGGACAUGCAACUUGGAGUGCAUCUUGGAUCCCUUGAAGAGCCAAGCUGCAUGCCAAGGAAUACACCUCCAACUUGAACACCAAGUCAUCUUACUUGGUCUAGGGAAACCUGGGUUUCUCCUGCCAAGUGCAUUGUUCUCCUGCAGAUGAUUCAAUUCACUUAGGAACCUCCAUCUCUCGGUUCCAUUAACAUAAAUUUCAAUGGAUCGGAUAGAGGAGGGAUUAGCAUUGAUGGUGUGGCUAUGUUAUUACGGAUUAUCGAGGAGCGUUAGUAGUAGUUGGUCUUGUGCUCUUGUUUCUCACCAAUUAGCCUAUAGUGGAACUUAAGAGCUGCAUAGGAGGAGAUGGUAUAUAUUACUGAGAAAUUGAAUAAAGCUCAGAAGAUUUGCCUUGAAGGAGAUUCAAAAACAGUAAUUAAUAGUAAGUAUCCAAUGCCUUAUUUAGAUGUUCAUCCUACGAUCAUCGAUAUCUGGAGGAUGUCCACGAAGCUGGAAGCUUUACAAGAAAAGCAUGCUUUUCCUCAAGCUAAUUCUACUAGUAAUUGGAUCGCCACUCAUAUUGCCAACAAUUCGAGAGGAUAUACUAAUUCUCGUGCAGUGUAACACAUCUGUCUUACAAAAAAAAAAAGGGAGCUAGAGGGGCGGGUUGGUCAAUUUUGUUUAAAAGAAAUCAAAGUAAAAGAAGAAUUUAAUGCAAACAUUGUCCUCAUCACAAUGAAGUGUUUCCAUGCAAUAAGAAGAAGACAUCGCAAUCAACUGCCGCGUUGCUGAAGGCAUCCAUUUUGGACGUGUGUGCGCGAGCUUUGAUAAAUUAUUUACGCAAUAUAAUACAUAUGACAAGAAUUUCAAGCCUCAGCUCUAAGUUUCAAUGCAAAUCAUUGGCACAUCAUAUUCUUCCUAAUCUCCUUUUUCGCAUUCAGUUUUGCCACAAAAAAAUAAAAUAAAAUGGAGAGAGAUUUUCUUAGCAAAGAGAUAUAUUCAACAACUCUUGGGGCCCUCCUUAUCUUUUUACCGUGCAUGCAUGCAUGCAUGAUUGAAGAGACAUGAUAAUUGCAAAUCAGUCCCUUGUAGGGCCUUCUGCUCUGAAAAACUGAAGUGAUUCUUUUUUUCCACAGGUCAAGAUCUAACAAUGCCCCACUUGCCGGAUUUGCGCCUUUUAGGCCCCGCUGAAUGCAGACUCCUAGACGCCGCAUCCGGGCCCACAUGCAUGUGACGCCGGAGCUCGGUUAACAUUAUUGCCUAGAAGUCUAGAAUCGAAGGCACAUCCUAAUUAUGGGAUAUAGCAGCCAAGAGUUUAUGAAAUAAACGUGUCUUCAGGUUCUCAAAUUCUUAUUCACUAACAACAACCUUACUGCCAUCUUGUUCAGCAGUGUAACCAUAUAAAGUUAGGGGAAGAGUAAAUAACUCAACAGUUUGGAAUACAGGGAUUUUUUUAUGGGUCCCUUGCAGAUAAGCAGACAAACAUAUAAUUUAUCAGCCAGAGGAGCAAUGUGAAAGCACCAUAGCUUGAGUCUUUUUUUUUCUUUUGUAAAUUUUGGUAUCUUUUGUGAAUGAGCUACUAAACCAUUUGCCUUUUUGUGAGCAUUCAUUUAGAAAUUUCUCUAAAANNNNNNNNNNNNNNNNNNNNNNNNNNNNNNNNNNNNNNNNNNNNNNNNNNNNNNNNNNNNNNNNNNUCAUCAGUUCUUGGUAGUGGAAUUUCUAGAAUUGAGGACAAGGUGACAAUUGGGUCAUUGACAUGGAAAAACUUAAGAUUAAUGAAAAUCCAUAUGUUUGGAUUUUGAAUAUGCUUAACUGCGACAAGGAAUGGUUUCAUUGUAUCGGUGUUUCACUAUAUUAUCUGCCAUUUGCUAUGAUAAGGAAUAAUAAUGGCCCUUGUAGCAAUUAGUAUUUUAUUCUAACAAAAAAAAUAUUUUGAAGAUUAGACUCGGAAUUUUGGCAAACUGCUUCUCGUGACUAGUACAUAUGGGAACUACAAUCGCUACAACAAAAAUGAUAACUAGUAGUAUUUUCAAGUACCACUAUAAACAAAUAGGAAUGUUGCAAAUGUUCCUUCUAGAUAUUUUUAUGGCAUUUUCUUAUGUACCAUCUUAGAAAUUAUAAGUACCAGCAAAAAAUUCUCAAAAUAAAUUUUAUAAUCUAAAAUUCAAAAAAAGAGAGGAUUUUCGAACUAAUAAUCCCUCUGAGCUCUUAACCACCGGCCACAACUUAUAUUGUUCUUACACAGGAAUGGUUUAGUGAAAGAUCAUUUAGUAAAUAAAAUAGAUAAAAAUAAAAAAUAAUAUUAGGUAAAUAAAAAUUAAAAUAAAAAAUAAUAAUAGCUAAAAAUUGGAGGUGGAUAAGGAUAUCAAAGAUAAAAUUAGGAAUAGAAGGAAAAUAAACUUGUUUGAGAGAAGUUGGCUUAGAUUGAGAGAAAGGAAUUCAGACAUUAUGAAGAUAUAGAAGUUUGAAUAAAAUUAGUAUUUUACAUGCAUUUUUUAAUUAUCGAUAUUAAUGAUUGUUAUAUAAUAAAAUUUAUUUGUAAAUCAAAUAAUAUUUCAUUCUGGGACAAAUUUGACAGGCUUAAAGGGCCCCUCCAAUACUUUUUUACGGAGUAGAUGAGUAAAGGUAAGUUUAGGUACUUUCUAGAAAACAAAAAUAUUUUUAUAUAGCCAAUGAUUUGGAUAAUACUGCCAGUGUAGGAAUUAACAUGUUCAUGUUGCAACCUAUCAAGGUCAUUAUGUGAUAUGGAUUCACAUCAAAAGAUGAGUAGUGGUAUCAAAUGCCUGAACAUAACUUUUCUUUUCUUUUUCUUUUUUCUAGGAAACUCGAUCAAAAGAUCUAGGGAACUUUCAUUAAGGGAUUGAAAGAUAUAGUCUUAGAUUUACAUGAACAAAUCAUGUUUGGCUUCAAUUAAACAUGACAUACAAAAAAAUGGAUAUUGUAUACAUCGUUAUUUAUUAUUAUUAAUUCAUGAAUAAUCAAUAUAGUUUAUUGAAAGUGUAUAUUUUAGUUAUGAGAGUGAUGAUUAGUUUAAGUGAUAAAAUGACUGAAGAUUGGGUACUAGUGAUUUGGGUUGGAGUCCCACUUUCAACAUAAUUUAUAAUCUUAAUAAAUUUUCAUGGCCUUGCCCAUGAUCACAGAUAAGCCCACCGGAUUACACCAAGGUGGAAGUAGUUUUAGUCCUUAAAACCAAUUAAUAUAAACACAUGAAGUGUCGGGGGAAUAAUUAAAAGCAUAUGGAAAGAUCCGCCGGCAUUAAUUCCGCUACAAGCGAAAUGAUUGAACCCAUCGUACAAAACUGCCCCCACUCAAAUGAACGUGAUUAGACGCUAUUAACUUAUAAUAUUAGCCGUACGAAAUAAAUGUGCGUGUCAUAUGCGCGUGUGUGUAUGAAAGAGAUAAAGCAAGCCGAGAGAAGAAAUUAUACCCUUGGCCAGAAGCACAACUGGCAGCCCCGUGGACCACACCAAUCAUAAUUUUUAUUUUUGUGAACUUACAUUUUAUCGUACAGCUUGGAUUAUUCCAAUAACGCAUCAUUGAUAUAAUGCACUUGAUCUAGGGUAUAUUUUCUCGAGCGAGAGCAAGAGGUAAACAGAAAAAUUAUAUCCUACGUCCAAUCAGUAUUUUGGCCAUGUGUAUCAGCUCAGCAAACAAAAAAAAAAAAAAAGACUUUCCAAACGAAUACUCUGCCCCUCCUCUGAAACCCUAGCCUAGCACUCUUCCUCCCCUCUCUACUUUCUUCUUUUGCCUUGCCUUCCACCUCUAGCCAUGUAGCUUCCGCAUCUUGGUAGCCCAAUGAGAGCCGCAGUAAGGAUAAGCUCCGAGCACUCUGCAUGCUCUUAUGUAGUUCGUCAAUGAUGGAAUCAUCGAUCAAAUAUUGUCAAAGCUUCGAAAGAAGCAAUCUAGUAGGAGCCGCACUGAGGAUGAGGAGCUUUGAGCUGUCCAUAAACCCUUAUCCAAGCCUAGCAUUGGGAGAGACUGGAGGCCAUGAAAGAAGAGGAAGAGGGCUAGAAAGUGGAAGCCACAUUUUUUUCCCCUCUUUGAGUUCAUCAUGUUCAUGUGAUGGCCUAUUAUUGACUUGGUGCACGCUAAGUUGGGACAUCGGAUGUAGGGUAUAAUUGUGAUAUACAUGUGAUAUGGGAUAUAAUUGUGAUAUCAAUGUGAUACAGGGUAUAAUUGUGUGUGUGUAUGUGUGUGUGUGUGUGUGUGUGUGAGAGAGAGAGAGAGAGAGAGAGAGAGAGAGAGAGAGAGAGAGAGAGAGAGAGAGAGAGAGANNNNNNNNNNNNNNNNNNNNUGUGUGUGUGUGUGUGUGUGUGUGUGUGUGUGUGUGUGAGAGAGAGAGAGAGAGAGAGAGAGAGAGAGAGAGCGCUUAGUCAAGAAGUAGUGGUCCCGAGUGGGAAAAAAAAAGUUCAUGUCACGUUUUCAAGCUGGCAUGCACUCUCCGGGGCGAAAACGACAGUGUCCAAGUUUUCCUUUUGGGUCAGCAAGGAAGUCCAGAAACUCGUAACCAGCAGCCUUGCAUGGAUAAACUAAGGUCCAUGUCUUAUUUUUCAUUUGAAUCACAGUUGCCAAGUCCAGUAACGCGGCACCUACUACCUAGUCUCUUCGCCUAUAUAAAGGAAGGUUGAGAGCCUGGGUGUUCUCAGACAAGGGAAGCUCAACUGGGUCGAGACACGUACGUUAGACUGAUGGAUAGGAGAGGAAGGGAGGAGGCCUCCAUGGCCUGCCUUGUUUCCACUCUCAUGGUGCUCUUUGUUUCUCUGAGCUUGCCUCUUCAGACACAAGCAAAUUAUCCUUACCCAUACAAGUCACCACCACCACCACCUCUCCACCACCACAAACCACCAACACUACCACCUCCUCCUGUUUACCACUACAAAUCACCACCUCCCCCUCCCCAUGUCUACAAGUAUAAAUCUCCACCACCACCUCCUUACCACCCCAUAUCACCAGCUCCUCCUCAUCAUCAUGCCUACAAGUAUAAAUCUCCACCACCACCUCCUUACCACCCUGCUCCUAUCUACAAGUACAAGUCACCACCUCCCCUCAUCAUGCUUACAAAUAUAAAUCUCCACCACCCCCUCUUCACCACCCUGCUCCUGUCUACAAGUACAAGUCACCACCUCCUCCUCACCAUGUCUACAAGUACAAAUCUCCACCACCCCCUCGCCAUUACAAGGCACCUUGUCCUCCUUCCCCUGUCUACAAAUAUAAAUCACCACCACCCCCUCCCUACCAUCACAUAUCACCAACCCUACCUCCCUACCACGACAAGUCACCACCACCACCCCCUCCUGUUUACAAGUAUAAAUCACCACCGCCACCUCCCUAUCACUACAAGUCACCACCACCUCCCCCUCCAGUCUACAAGUAUAAGUCUCCUCCACCACCUCCACAUGUUUAUCACUACACUUCACCUCCUCCUCCUCCCUAUCACUAUUAAGCGGCAGAACACCGUCGAAACCAAAAGGGUUAGUUGCUUGUAUUUUCUGAGCUCAGAAUAUGGUUAAAAAUGAAGUUACUUGGAGUAAUAACAAACGGAUGUUUCUUGUUCUUUCUUUCUUUGUUUUCUUUCUCUUUUUUUUUUAAGAGAGCUAAUUAAUUAAGCCGAAGCCAAAUGGAAAACACAUGGGCAAUUUUAAAACAGCACCAUUGGAACAUAACCCCCCUCUCGUUUUUUAUUAUUUUGCAGGGAUGAAGACUUAUCUUUCCUGAUGGUUGCCAUAUAUGAACCAGCA